UUUAUGGAGAGUUUGAUCCUGGCUCAGGAUGAACGCUGGCGGCGUGCCUAAUACAUGCAAGUCGAGCGAACGGACGAGAAGCUUGCUUCUCUGAUGUUAGCGGCGGACGGGUGAGUAACACGUGGAUAACCUACCUAUAAGACUGGGAUAACUUCGGGAAACCGGAGCUAAUACCGGAUAAUAUUUUGAACCGCAUGGUUCAAAAGUAAAAGACGGUCUUGCUGUCACUUAUAGAUGGAUCCGCGCUGCAUUAGCUAGUUGGUAAGGUAACGGCUUACUAAGGCAACGAUGCAUAGCCGACCUGAGAGGGUGAUCGGCCACACUGGAACUGAGACACGGUCCAGACUCCUACGGGAGGCAGCAGUAGGGAAUCUUCCGCAAUGGGCGAAAGCCUGACGGAGCAACGCCGCGUGAGUGAUGAAGGUCUUCGGAUCGUAAAACUCUGUUAUUAGGGAAGAACAUAUGUGUAAGUAACUGUGCACAUCUUGACGGUACCUAAUCAGAAAGCCACGGCUAACUACGUGCCAGCAGCCGCGGUAAUACGUAGGUGGCAAGCGUUAUCCGGAAUUAUUGGGCGUAAAGCGCGCGUAGGCGGUUUUUUAAGUCUGAUGUGAAAGCCCACGGCUCAACCGUGGAGGGUCAUUGGAAACUGGAAAACUUGAGUGCAGAAGAGGAAAGUGGAAUUCCAUGUGUAGCGGUGAAAUGCGCAGAGAUAUGGAGGAACACCAGUGGCGAAGGCGACUUUCUGGUCUGUAACUGACGCUGAUGUGCGAAAGCGUGGGGAUCAAACAGGAUUAGAUACCCUGGUAGUCCACGCCGUAAACGAUGAGUGCUAAGUGUUAGGGGGUUUCCGCCCCUUAGUGCUGCAGCUAACGCAUUAAGCACUCCGCCUGGGGAGUACGACCGCAAGGUUGAAACUCAAAGGAAUUGACGGGGACCCGCACAAGCGGUGGAGCAUGUGGUUUAAUUCGAAGCAACGCGAAGAACCUUACCAAAUCUUGACAUCCUUUGACAACUCUAGAGAUAGAGCCUUCCCCUUCGGGGGACAAAGUGACAGGUGGUGCAUGGUUGUCGUCAGCUCGUGUCGUGAGAUGUUGGGUUAAGUCCCGCAACGAGCGCAACCCUUAAGCUUAGUUGCCAUCAUUAAGUUGGGCACUCUAAGUUGACUGCCGGUGACAAACCGGAGGAAGGUGGGGAUGACGUCAAAUCAUCAUGCCCCUUAUGAUUUGGGCUACACACGUGCUACAAUGGACAAUACAAAGGGCAGCGAAACCGCGAGGUCAAGCAAAUCCCAUAAAGUUGUUCUCAGUUCGGAUUGUAGUCUGCAACUCGACUACAUGAAGCUGGAAUCGCUAGUAAUCGUAGAUCAGCAUGCUACGGUGAAUACGUUCCCGGGUCUUGUACACACCGCCCGUCACACCACGAGAGUUUGUAACACCCGAAGCCGGUGGAGUAACCUUUUAGGAGCUAGCCGUCGAAGGUGGGACAAAUGAUUGGGGUGAAGUCGUAACAAGGUAGCCGUAUCGGAAGGUGCGGCUGGAUCACCUCCUUUCU
rnacentral:rRNA from 1 species